AACCAAGAAGAGUUUUCAAAAUUUCAAAGCUCAACAUGUACCUAGAAGUUGUAACAUUGUAGCUCAAUCUGUGGCCAAGUUAGCUUUAAGGGAACUUGACUCAUUUGUAUGGUUGGAUGAAAUUCUAGUUGAUGUUCUGUGUUUACUCGCUUCUUAAGUAAUGAAAGACGUACUUUCUUUUCAAAAAACAAAAAAGUCAACAUGUAGAAAAUGUAUAUACGUAAGUGAAAAUAUACCAAUACGCUUAUAUAUGAUGUUGAGCUCAAUGGAUUUUGCAAGUAUGAAUUAUCUUGAUAAUAUGGGAUAAAAUGAUCCUUUUUUCUAUACAACUUGGGUUAAUUACUUAGUUGUCAUAUUUUUAAAUUAAAAGGUCAUUGUUCUAUAUUUAUUUCCUUUAAAAUCUACAUGUAAGAUUAAUUUGAAUUUUAAGAUACAUAAUACAUAAGAGAAAAGUACUAUUUUACCUUUGAAAAGUCAAAUACAUAUCUACAAAAGUUAUAAUAGGGUAUUGGAAUAAUUUUUUAAAAUACACAAACUAACUUAGUAAUCAGCUCAAACUGCAUGACUAAAUUAAAUAAAUUUUUCACUUAAAAAAAUGUAUAUAAAUAAAGUGACGUCUUAUUACACGUACAGUAAUGCUUCAUUUUCUUUUUGCUUAAUUUCUUUAUUUUGUCGCAUGGAUUAUUAAUCCUAAGGGUAAAUUUCGCAGGUAUUUAUAUAUUACAGGGAAAAAUAAACACCGAUUUUAGUGCGCGAUAAAACAUAUUAAAUGAAACAUCUAAAGACCAAAAUAUCAGAAUAUGAUGAAAGAGUUUUCGGGCCUGGUGUGAAAGAAAGGCAAAUGUCUAUGUCAAAGAAUGCCUUACUAAAAAGAAUGCCUCUUUUUUCUUUUUUAAUUUCAUUUUAACUACCAUAUCCUUAUUUGUACGUCAUUGAGAUUUGAGCAGCUAAAUACAUAGAGAUUUUACAUUCAUCACUCGUCUCAAGAUGGCCAAUAUAUAUAUAUAUAUAAUAAAUUUCAUGGUUUAAAAAUAUGCUCGUAUUAAAAAAAAAAUACAAAUAUUCUUAUUUUAAUAAAAUGAAGAUGCCUCAUUUUAUAUAUACAGUAAAACCUUCAAAUAAGAAUACUCUAUAUAGAAAUAACUUCUUCAUAAUAAUAAAAUUGCGGUCACAGCUUGGGACCAGUUAUAAUUAGAAAUAAGUUCUAUAUUGUAAUAAGUUAUAUUUUUUGUAAGUCCCGUUUUAAUAAACUUAUCUCUACAUAGUAAUAAUAUUUCAAAAACAUAUGCCAUAUUACAGUAAAUAAUUAAAAUGAAAUAAAAUAUCUUUCUAAAGUUGCUUGUGACAAUGAUUUAUUCUUUAAAGUUGCAACCAUAUCUUUCAACUUACGAGUAUGUAUUAAUUGGUCAGCAUAGGCACUUAAUAAUUGGUCAACAAAAUAAUUAAUUUAUUAAUGUCUAUACAUUGAAUUUGAUUUGCUUAUUAAUAUAUUAAUAUACGACAUAAUUUAUCUCUAUAUCACUUGCAUUAGGGAUAAUUAAGUAAAGAUAAUAAUUUUUGUAUUAUACCUCUAUUACAUUAUAAUAUCUUUAUAAGAAUAAAUUUUUUCAAUACAUACAUACGUACGUACGUACAUACAUACAUACAUACAUACAUACGUGAUAGAGGUGUGUCCAGCUUUUUAUUGAUGGAAUGAGUAAUAAUACAGCCACAAGCUCUUGUACAAACUUAUUUUGUACAAAUUGAUGUGGCAUGAUAAGAUUGGUUGAAUUAAAUAUCACUUGACCCACAUGAUUUGUUUUUAUUAAUUUAUAUUUUCAUUCAACCAAUAAAUUUAAUGACACGUCAGUUUGUACAAAAUAAAUUUAUACAAGAGUUUGUGGCUGUAUCAUUACUCUUGAUAGAAUUGUGUUAUGAGCUGCAUAAUCUUAAUGUUAACACGUAUCCCAUCACGCUUCUCAUGACGUGCAAGACCCGCAUAAAAUCCAGUACUGUGAUACUGUGUGAUGUAUUUACAAAACAAAGCCCAUUACUUGAAAUAAAAAAAAAGACAUGCGUUAUAUAUUAUUCCCUCUUCACAUAUAUAAUCCAGAAAUAAGAGUUUAUGAAAUUAAUUUUAUGGUCGUCAUGGGCACAAUAAUGGAACUUUAAAACAUUGAGAAAGAUUUUUGAAGUUUAUUUAUUUAUUUCUCACAAUGUUCUAUAUUUAU
rnacentral:lncRNA from 1 species